GCCCGCGUAGCCCAAUAGCAGAGGCAGCGAGCUCAAACCUCGCAAAGUGCGGGUGCGACUCCCGCCGCGGGCA
rnacentral:tRNA from 1 species